CGCCUCCCCGGGGCCGGCUCGGGCCACUUCUUGCGCGCUGCCAGAAGGAGCUAUUUUGAGCAGGCGGAAUUUUGCUCUGGUGGCCCAGGCUGGAGUGCAGUGGUGCGAUCUUGGCUCACUGCAACCUCUGCCUCCCAGAUUCAAGCAAUUCUCCUGCCUCAGCCUCCCAAGUCGCUGGGAUUACAGGUGCCUGCCACCAUGCCCAGUCCUUCUGACCCUCGUGGCUUCUCCUGCUCCAAGGCCAAGCUCGGGACCCUGUCAUCAUCCCCGGGGACAGGCCCCAUCUUAGAGAGGAUCCACCCAGCUCCCCGCUCCUGAGCCAUCUUCCAGCUAUCCCGCCUCGAGACUCCCACCGCACCUGCUCCUGGGCUGCAGCUGCACCCAACAAGUCAACAUGUGGAUUGCUUCUAGAAUUUGGAUAUUAUGAACACUGCUGUGCUGAACAUUCUUGUACACUUAUAUGGUUUGGCUGUGUCCCCACCCAAAUCUCAUCUUGAAUUGUAGCUCCCAUAAUUCCUAUGUGUCGUGG
rnacentral:lncRNA from 1 species